CUUGCUGUUCUAUUGAUUGGCAUUUUCUUUUUGGAUAUCCAACAAACUUGAUUAUUUCUUCUAGUAUUUGAUAAUAUACUUGCAGGUACAAGGUCUUCACAACUUUCUUAACACGGUGUAUUUGUUUUGUGAAGAGAGGUGGUGAUGCUACAUGGUCAGUGAUGGGUGCUAGGAGAAGUGCAACUCUACCAACAGAGAAAAUCUACUCUUCACAAAGGCCAUGACGGGUAGUUGGAUCCAAAGCACAGAGAAUCAAGAGGUGGUGAUGCUACAUGGUCAGUGAUGGGUGCUAGGAGAAGUGCAACUCUACCAACAGAGAAAAUCUACUCUUCACAAAGGCCAUGACGAGUAGUUGGAUCCAAAGCACAUAGAAUCAAGGUUUAUUUUCUUAGAGCUCCUGUGUCGGAGCUGAUACUAUUGUGUUACGUUGAAGUUUUAUCUUCACUGCUUCUUUUCCUCAUGUGUGAGCCGAGUACCGAUUUCACAUCCUUCCCAUUCUAUGCUAAUACUCCU